rfam:Camelus ferus unplaced genomic scaffold scaffold142, whole genome shotgun sequence.
GAGGGGAUAGUUCAGUGGUAGAGUGACUGCCUAGCAUGCACAAGGUCCUGGGUUCAACCCCCAGUACCUCCA